rnacentral:misc_RNA from 1 species
GCGAGUUAUACACUCUCCUAAACCAUUGUGAACGUAACCGAACCCUGUUGCCUCGGCGGGCACGCCCGGUGCUAGCCCGACCGCCCGCCGGAGGAACGCAACCGAACUCUUUCUGUAUUCCCUCUCGACGUUUCUUACUAGCUUACUUAUUCAAAUAAGUCA